rnacentral:misc_RNA from 1 species
GGGAAUAUAUCCAUUUCAAAAUAAAAAGGAUUACUGAAGUUCAUAAUGUCAUCGAUUUCGUACUUAAAUGAAUCCAAGAAUAGACCAAGAGAAAGCCCAGCCUUCCAGUAGUUAAACAUGGUUAUAAGGCUCCUAAUAUUGUUGAACAAAGGAAAAGAAGCCCUAUACAUAAGGGCUCCAAUCCCUUCCACUACUGCCACAGCAAAAGCGGCCGAUAGAAUAUCCCAAUCACCCGUCUGACCAAUAACAGUGGCAAAGGCAGUUGCACAAUAAAAUCCCACCAAGAAAAAGAGUAAUUUUAUUGGGAGAUUUUUCCUUAUCUUCUUGAUUCUCGCAACUAUCCUGGCCUGCAAAGUUUGGAUGGCCCUAACCAAUCUUGUUCCACCACUAGUGCUACUUGAAGGAGAAGGAUCCAAUCCACUAUCUACACUACUCCUAACCUGCCAGGCUAUCUUCCUGAAAUUUU